rnacentral:rRNA from 1 species
AAAUUGAAGAGUUUGAUCAUGGCUCAGAUUGAACGCUGGCGGCAGGCCUAACACAUGCAAGUCGAACGGUAACAGGAAGCAGCUUGCUGCUUCGCUGACAAGUGGCGGACGGGUGAGUAAUGUCUGGGAAACUGCCUGAUGGAGGGGGAUAACUACUGGAAACGGUGGCUAAUACCGCAUGACGUCGCAAGACCAAAGAGGGGGACCUUCGGGCCUCUUGCCAUCAGAUGUGCCCAGAUGGGAUUAGCUUGUUGGUGAGG